GACAGAGGGUGCAAACGUUGCUCGGAAUCACUGGGCGUAAAGGGCGUGUAGGCGGACUUGCAAGUCAGGCGUGAAAUCCCUGGGCUCAACCCAGGAAUUGCACUUGAAACUGCAAGCCUUGAGUGUCGGAGAGGAAAGCGGAAUUCCUGGUGUAGAGGUGAAAUUCGUAGAUAUCAGGAGGAACACCGGUGGCGAAGGCGGCUUUA
rnacentral:rRNA from 1 species